GCCGUUAGACGGUCUUAUCGAAAUCUAUAUAAAUCUUAUAUGGUACGGACCGUUAUCCAACAUUAGUUGGUUAAUUUUUGACAGUCACUUGAAUCACAAGUGACUAU
rnacentral:misc_RNA from 1 species